rnacentral:rRNA from 1 species
AGAGCGAACGCUGGCGGCAGGCCUAACACAUGCAAGUCGAACGAAUCCUUCGGGGUUAGUGGCGGACGGGUGAGUAACACGUGGGAACGUGCCUUUUGGUUCGGAAUAACUCAGGGAAACUUGUGCUAAUACCGAAUGUGCCCUUCGGGGGAAAGAUUUAUCGCCAUUAGAGCGGCCCGCGUCUGAUUAGCUAGUUGGUAGGGUAAAGGCCUACCAAGGCUACGAUCAGUAGCUGGUCUGAGAGGAUGACCAGCCACAUUGGGACUGAGACACGGCCAAACUCCUACGGGAGGCAGCAGUGGGGAAUCUUGCGCAAUGGGCGAAAGCCUGACGCAGCCAUGCCGCGUGAAUGAUGAAGGUCUUAGGAUUGUAAAAUUCUUUCACCGGGACGAUAAAUGACGGUACCCGGAGAAGAAGCCCCGGCUAACUUCGUGCCAGCAGCCGC